rnacentral:rRNA from 1 species
UACAGAGGGUGCGAGCGUUGUUCGGAAUUAUUGGGCGUAAAGGGCGCGUAGGCGGUGCGGUAAGUCACUUGUGAAAUCUCCCGGCUCAACCGGGAGGGUGCGCCGAAUACUGAGGGACUAGAGUGCGGGAGAGGAAAGUGGAGUUCCUGGUGUAGCGGUGAAAUGCGCAGAUAUCAGGAGGAACACCGGUGGCGAAGGCGGUUCUCUGGGCAUGUCCUGACGCUGAGGAGCGAAAGUGUGGGGAGCGAACAGG